rnacentral:rRNA from 1 species
UACGUAGGGUCCGAGCGUUGUCCGGAAUUAUUGGGCGUAAAGAGCUCGUAGGUGGUUUGUCGCGUUGUUCGUGAAAACCGGGGGCUUAACCCUCGGCGUGCGGGCGAUACGGGCAGACUUGAGUACUGCAGGGGAGACUGGAAUUCCUGGUGUAGCGGUGGAAUGCGCAGAUAUCAGGAGGAACACCGGUGGCGAAGGCGGUCUCUGGGCAGUAACUGACGCUGAGGAGCGAAAGCGUGGGGAGCGAACAGG